rnacentral:rRNA from 1 species
CGCGCAGCAUUCUGUAGCAAUACAGGGUGUGGGCGCGUGGCGAACGGGUGCGUAACACGUGGAUAACCUUCCUUCAGGUGGGGAAUAACCCAGUGAAAAUUGGGCUAUUACCGCAUAACAAGACGAUGCCACAUGGUGUUGUCUUCAAAGCCGCAAGGCGCCAGAAGAGGGAUCCGCGGCCGAUUAGCUAGUUGGCGGGGUAAUGGCCCACCAAGGCAUUGAUCGGUAGCCGGACUGAGAGGUUGGCCGGCCACACUGGAACUGAGACACGGUCCAGACUCCUACGGGAGGCAGCAGUGGGGAAUCUUGCACAAUGGACGAAAGUCUGAUGCAGCAACGCCGCGUGGGGGAUGAAGCUUCUCGGAGUGUAAACCCCUUUCGACCCGGAAGAAAGCCCGCAAGGGUUUGACGGUACGGGUAUAAGAAGCCCCGGCUAACUACGUGCCAGCAGCCGCGGUAAUACGUAGGGGGCCAGCGUUGCUCGGAAUUACUGGGCGUAAAGGGUCCGUAGGCGGUGUGGCAAGUCGGGAGUGAAAUCUCUGGGCUUAACCCAGAGGCUGCUUCCGAAACUGCCGUGCUAGAGUGUGAGAGAGGCGAGUGGAAUUGCGGGUGUAGCGGUGAAAUGCGUAGAUAUCCGCAGGAACAUCCGA